CCCCUAGAUGUUCUGGGCCGCACGCGCGCUACACUGAACAGUUCAACAAGUCUUAACCUUGGCCGAUAGGUCUGGGUAAUCUUUGAACGCUGUUCGUGAUUGGGAUAGACCUUUGCAAUUAUGGGUCUUCAACGAGGAAUUCCUAGUAAACGCAAGUCAUCAGCUUGCAUUGAUUACGUCCCCGCCCUUUGUACACACCGCCCGUCGCACCUACCGAUUGAAUGGUCCGGUGAAAUCUCGGGACGGCGGCUCGGUCGCUUGCGUCCGACUGCUGAAACUUGAUUAAACCAUAUCAUUUAGAGGAAGGUGAAGUCGUAACA
rnacentral:rRNA from 1 species